GGAGAGAUGGCAGAGCGGUCAAAUGCGCUGGUCUUGAAAACCAGAGCCUCACGGCUACGGGAGUUCGAAUCUCCCUCUCUCCG
rnacentral:tRNA from 1 species